rnacentral:rRNA from 1 species
CAAUAGCGUAUAUUAAAGUUGUUGCAGUUAAAAAGCUCGUAGUUGGAGUUCAGAGUGAGCUCAGCCGGUCGGGAUUAUGUCUCAGAACUGGUUGACUCUCUCUUGUUUGUGGAUCCUGUUCGGAGUUAACUCGUCGGAUGUGGAGUCCACAUCGUUUACUUUGAAAAAUUAGAGUGUUUCAAGCAGGCGAUUUGCUGGAAUACAUUAGCAUGGAAUAAUAGAAGAUGACCACCACGCAUUUUUUUGGUAUAUUGCUGGAGGUAAUGAUUAACAGGGACAGUUGGGGGCAUUAGUAUUUAAUUGUCAGAGGUGAAAUUCAUUGAUUAAUUAAAGACUAACUUAUGCGAAAGCAUUUGCCAAGGAUGUUUUCAUUAAUCAAGAACGAAAGUUAGGGGAUCAAAGACGAUCAGAUACCAU